UACUCAUACAUAUACAUACACAAACAUACACGCACAGACGCGCGCACACGCACAGACAGACACACACACAGACACAGAGUCCAUGCAUACAUAGUGCCAUUCCUCCUGGAGAACAGCAGCAGUUUCUUCUUCGCUCCGUUUCUUGCCAAAGAAGUUUACAGCGAAGUUUUCUCCGCUCGUUUAUCGUCGAAAUUGCGAAAAGGAGAAAAGGAAAAAAAAAAGAAAAACUUUUGUCGCUAACUUGAUAUAUUUAUCAAUCUACCGCCAGCCAGGAUAUAUAAUUAACUGUUUAUGUAUAUAUGUAUAUAUAUUUAUACACAUACAUAUACUUGUAAGAUAUAACUAUUUUAAAUUAUAUUUAUAUAUAAAUACAUAUAUAUAUAUAUAUAUAUACAUAUAUAAUUUAAAAUCUACGACUUGUUUGCCUUUCAAAAGAUGGCACUUUCAAACUUUGUUCAGCUAACGUGGACUUGUCUUGCAAUGGGGAUUUUCCUUCAUGUCAUCUAUGGGAAUCCUGUUGCUCCUGUAGAUCAAGAAGAAACCACAGAUGAUGAUAGUUUUCCAUUAGAUAAUGAAGAGGAAUGCCAGCCAAAGAAUCUGACGUCAUGUCCUCCAGACCAUUGCUGUGUCACAGAGAUUCUUGCGUACCAGCCAAGUUUCAAGGGCCAGAGAGCAGCUGGACAUUUGGUAUGUCGACGCAUGCGCGACGAGGGAGAACUGUGUAUUUUGAAGGACGCCUUACACAUUUGUCCAUGUAGAGAAGGUCUCGACUGCGUGGAAAUGGACGAUUCGGAUUAUGGACACUGUUCGCGAAUAUAGGUCGAAUAUAUUUCAAAGUCAGAAGCGGAAGCAGCCACAGUAACAGCCACAGUAACAGCAGCAGCUGCAUCCAUGACAGAACGGCAAUAAUAAUAAUAAUAAUAAUAAUAAUAAUAUUAAUGAUAACAAUAAUAUUAAUGAUAACAAUAACAACAAUAACUAAAACAACUUGAAUAGAUGCACGCAGUUCACAUUUCUAUGUACACAUUUCGAAAACAUUAUCAUUUCGAAAACAUCCCACACAGCACAUUCUCUGUCCAAUCACCGUCCCAGCUCUCUAACUUAUAAUUCUAAUCAUACAGAGCACACGAAACAUAUAUUCACCACCCAACGAAAUAAACAUACCUCACAUCACUCAUAAACUACACAACGUACAAAAUAUCCCCAAGUAAAACUCCAACCAAUAAAACCAAGAUCCACCUGUACUAAACCAUGUCAAACUGAUCUCAAAAAGGA